rnacentral:rRNA from 1 species
CUACGGGAUGCUGCAGUGGGGAAUAUUGGACAAUGGGCGCAAGCCUGAUCCAGCAAUGCCGCGUGAGUGAAGACGGCCUUAGGGUUGUAAAACUCUUUCGCUAGGGAAGAUAAUGACUGUACCUAGUAAAGAAGUCCCGGCUAACUCCGUGCCAGCAGCCGCGGUAAUACGGAGGGGACUAGCGUUGUUCGGAAUUACUGGCGUAAAGAGUUCGUAGGCGGACUGACAAGUUAGAGGUGAAAUCCCAGGGCUCAACCCUGGAACUGCCUUUAAAACUGUCAGUCUAGAGACCGGAAGAGGUUAGGGGAAUACCUAGUGUAGAGGUGAAAUUCGUAGAUAUUAGGUGGAACACCAGUGGCGAAGGCGCCUAACUGGUCCGGUACUGACGCUGAGGAACGAAAGCGUGGGGAGCAAACAGGAUUAGAUACCCGUGUAGUC